UUGGCAAGAUGCCAAACAUCUGGGUUUUGAGAGAGAGAGAGAGAGGAAUUUCCAUGGUUAAGGAACUAAAUACUUCUGUGUCCAAUGGGAUGCUCUGCAUCGUGUGGCCCCAGAGAUCGGAUGCUCUUCCCUUGCCAGGCGUCUAGUGAGCAUUAUGAGAGUCAUGCACAGUGCUCCACCUGGAGAAUUAAGCUUUUGUCCUGCAGAAGUAAGUCUUCUUACAAGGUAGCUGAAGUUACAAAGUGACUGAAGUGGAAACUUCCAGUUCUUUUAAAGGGCAGCUGGUCCAGAGCCCCCCUGUGUUGAGUCACCUAGAGAAUGGUGUCAGACUCCGACAGCAGCAGUCAGUGGCCAGCCACUUCCCCAGCACCUACUGAGUUCUGAGACUGGCAUCUUCUUCUGGAAAGUUUCCCAAGAACCCCGGAGGUUCUGUCAUUUUAGGUUGCAACAG